rnacentral:rRNA from 1 species
CGAACGCUGGCGGCGUGCUUAACACAUGCAAGUCGAACGGAAAGGCCCUGCUUUUGUGGGGUGCUCGAGUGGCGAACGGGUGAGUAACACGUGAGUAACCUGCCCUUGACUUUGGGAUAACUUCAGGAAACUGGGGCUAAUACCGGAUAGGAGCUCCUGCUGCAUGGUGGGGGUUGGAAAGUUUCGGCGGUUGGGGAUGGACUCGCGGCUUAUCAGCUUGUUGGUGGGGUAGUGGCUUACCAAGGCUUUGACGGGUAGCCGGCCUGAGAGGGUGACCGGCCACAUUGGGACUGAGAUACGGCCCAGACGCCUACGGGAGGCAGCAGUGGGGAAUAUUGCACAAUGGGCGGAAGCCUGAUGCAGCAACGCCGCGUGCGGGAUGACGGCCUUCGGGUUGUAAACCGCUUUCGCCUGUGACGAAGCGUGAGUGACGGUAAUGGGUAAAGAAGCACCGGCUAACUACGUG